rnacentral:rRNA from 1 species
CGCGUGGGGGAAGGGCUCUUGGGUUGUAAACUCCUUUUCUCAGGGAAGAACAAAAUGACGGUACCUGAGGAAUCAGCAUCGGCUAACUCCGUGCCAGCAGCCGCGGUAAUACGGAGGAUGCAAGCGUUAUCCGGAAUCAUUGGGCGUAAAGCGUCCGCAGGUGGCACAUCAAGUCUGCUGUCAAAGGUCGGGGCUCAACUCCGAACAGGCAGUGGAAACUGAAAUGCUCGAGUGCGGUAGGGGCAGAGGGAAUUCCUGGUGUAGCGGUGAAAUGCGUAGAGAUCAGGAAGAACACCGGUGGCGAAAGCGCUCUGCUAGGCCGCAACUGACACUCAGGGACGAAAGCUAGGGGAGCGAAUGGGAUUAGAUACCCCUAG